GGUAACGGCUCACCAUGGCGAUGAUGUCUAGGGGUUCUGAGAGGAAGGCCCCCCACACUGGGACUGAGACACGGCCCAGACUCCUACGGGAGGCAGCAGUGAGGAAUAUUGGACAAUGGAUGGAAAUCUGAUCCAGCCAUGCCGCGUGCAGGAAGACGGCCCUAUGGGUUGUAAACUGCUUUUAUACGGGAGCAAUAAGGUCUACGUGUAGACUGAUGAGAGUACCGUAUGAAUAAGCAUCGGCUAACUCCGUGCCAGCAGCCGCGGUAAUACGGAGGAUGCGAGCGUUAUCCGGAUUUAUUGGGUUUAAAGGGUGCGUAGGCGGCCUUGUAAGUCAGCGGUGAAAUUUUGCAGCUUAACUGUAAAAGUGCCGUUGAUACUGUGAGGCUAGGAUUUGGUUGCUGUGGGUGGAAUGUGUGGUGUAGCGGUGAAAUGCUUAGAGAUCACACAGAAUAUCGAUUGCGAAGGCAGCUCACAAAGCCAAGAUUGACGCUGAGGCACGAAAGUGUGGGGAUCAAACAGGAUUAGAUACCCUGGUAGUCCACACUGUAAACGAUGAUAACUCGCUGUCGGCGAUAUACAGUCGGUGGCCAAGCGAAAGCGAUA
rnacentral:rRNA from 1 species